rnacentral:misc_RNA from 1 species
GAUGAAGAACGCAGCGAAAUGCGAUAAGUAAUGUGAAUUGCAGAAUUCAGUGAAUCAUCGAAUCUUUGAACGCACAUUGCGCCCGCCAGUAUUCUGGCGGGCAUGCCUGUUCGAGCGUCAUUACAACCCUCAGGCCCCCGGGCCUGGCGUUGGGGAUCGGCGGAGCCCCCCGUGGGCACACGCCGUCCCCCAAAUACAGUGGCGGUCCCGCCGCAGCUUCCAUUGCGUAGUAGCUAACACCUCGCAACUGGAGAGCGGCGCGGCCACGCCGUAAAACACCCAACUUCUGAAUGUUGACCUCGAAUCAGGUAGGAAUACCCGCUGAACUUAAGCAUAUCAAUAAGCGGAGGA